rnacentral:rRNA from 1 species
AACUAACGCUGGCGGCGCGUCUUAAACAUGCAAGUCAAACGGAUGUAGCAAUACAUUAGUGGCGAACGGGUGAGUAACACGUGGGUAAUCAACCUUCAAGUCUGGGAUAACCUGUCGAAAGGCAGGCUAAUACGGGAUAGCCUCAGGACCUCUUAAGAGGAUCUGAGUAAAGGAGCAAUUCGCUUGAAGACGAGCCCGCGGCUGAUUAGCUUGUUGGUGAGGUAACGGCNCACCAAGGCGACGAUCAGUAGCCGGCCUGAGAGGGUGUCCGGCCACAUUGGGAC